AAAAAGUCAAACCCUAUUUUUCCGUGUCCAACUUUGACAAUCCGUCUUAUAUGAAAUUUUUUUAUUAAUUCGUAUUUUUAUUGUUGUUAGAUGAUAAAACAUGAUUAAUAUUUUAUGCGUAACUUGUCUUUUUAUUGUUUUUAUAAUUUUUUCAAAUAAGACAGACGGUCAAAUAUUAGACAUGAAAAUUAGGGUUUGUCUUUUU
rfam:Oryza glaberrima chromosome 4 Oglab04_0267_1, whole genome shotgun sequence.